rnacentral:rRNA from 1 species
UCGGGAAUAUUGCGCAAUGGAGGAAACUCUGACGCAGUGACGCCGCGUGCAGGAAGAAGGUUUUCGGAUUGUAAACUGCUUUAGACAGGGAAGAAACAAGACAGUACCUGUAGAAUAAGCUCCGGCUAACUACGUGCCAGCAGCCGCGGUAAUACGUAGGGAGCGAGCGUUAUCCGGAUUUAUUGGGUGUAAAGGGUGCGUAGACGGGAAGUCAAGUUAGUUGUGAAAUCCCUCGGCUUAACCGAGGAACUGCAACUAAAACUAGCUUUCUUGAGUGUUGGAGAGGAAAGUGGAAUUCCUAGUGUAGCGGUGAAAUGCGUAGAUAUUAGGAGGAACACCAGUGGCGAAGGCGACUUUCUGGACAAUAACUGACGUUGAGGCACGAAAGUGUGGGGAGCAAACAGGAUUAGAUACCCUGGUAGUCCACACUGUAAACGAUGGAUACUAGGUGUAGGGUGUGAAUAACAUUCUGUGCCGUCGCAAACGCAGUAAGUAUCCCAUCCU